AUACUACUCCCUCCGUUCGGAAUUACUUGUCUCGGAAAUGGAUGUAUCUAGAACUAAAAUACGUCUAGAUACAUCUAUUUUCGAGACAAGUAAUUCCGAACGGAGGGAGUACUUU
rnacentral:pre_miRNA from 1 species